rfam:Parcubacteria (Moranbacteria) bacterium GW2011_GWE1_35_17 TR66_C0002, whole genome shotgun sequence.
GCCCGGAUGGCGAAAUUGGUAGACGCGCACGACUCAAAAUCGUGUGGAUUUAUUCAUGAGAGUUCGAGUCUCUCUCCGGGCA